AGGGUGAUGGGGUGAUUGACCACAACUUCCUGGGCGGGCUCUGCUAGCUGAUCAAGUUUGUUUCUGACAUUGUUCCAGAGACUCCUCAGACGCAGCCUUUGGGUCCUUCUUAAGAGAGGAUCCUGGCAUUUUCGAUUUGAUAACAAAGGAAGCACUUUCAGCUGCAAAAAAAGAAAGCAGCAGUGAGGAUGAAGAUGACAGUAGUGAGGAAAGUUCGGAUGAUGAGCCAACAAAAGUUGAAGAAAAGAAGGCUCCAAAAGUAUCAGAAAAUAUUGGAUCUGAGGAUGAAUCUUCUGAAGACAAGAGUGAUAAAGACAGUGAAGAGCCUCAGCUCGCGAGCUGAACUGGCUCGCUCUGGCUCGCUCUUUUAUUGAGCCAGAAAAAACUCUGCUCGAGCUUGUUCUAAGCACAGUUUCUGGAUCGGAGGAGCAUCCCCGCCUAGGUCUCUGCAGCCAUGGUUCGCGGAUCGCUCGGCAAGCUUGCAUCGCGCGCCCUCUCCGUCGCCGGGAGAUGGCAGCACCAGCAGCUCCGCCGCCUCAACAUCCACGAGUACCAGGGCGCGGAGUUGAUGGGUAAAUACGGGAUCAACGUGCCCAGGGGCGCGGCGGCUGGGUCCGUACAUGAGGUCAAGGACGCCUUGAAGAACAUGUUCCCCAGCGAGAAAGAGAUAGUUGUUAAAAGUCAAAUCCUUGCUGGUGGCCGAGGGCUGGGAACUUUCAAAAGCGGACUGCAAGGUGGUGUCCAUAUUGUUAAGGCUGAGGAAGCUGAAUUGAUUGCAAGUAAAAUGUUAGGCCAGAUUCUGAUAACGAAACAAACUGGUCCAGAGGGAAAGAUUGUGAGCAAGGUCUACUUGUGUGAGAAACUAUCUCUUA